rnacentral:rRNA from 1 species
AAUGAACGCUGGCGGCGCGCCUAAUACAUGCAAGUCGAGCGAGAAGACGUAGCAAUACGUUUGUAAAGCGGCGAACGGGUGAGGAAUACAUGGGUAACCUACCCUAGAGUGGGGAAUAACUAGCCGAAAGGUUAGCUAAUACCGCGUACGCUCCUUGGACUUCGGUUCAGGGAGGAAAGCGAUGCCGAGGGUAUCGCGCUCUUGGAUGGGCUCAUGUCCUAUCAGCUUGUUGGGAGGUAACGGCUCGCCAAGGCUUCGACGGGUAGCUGGUCUGAGAGGACGAUCAGCCACACAGGGACUGAGACACGGCCCAGACUCCUACGGGAGGCAGCAGUGGGGAAUAUUGGACAAUGGGCGCAAGCCUGAUCCAGCGAUGCCGCGUGUGUGAAGAAGGCCUGCGGGUUGUAAAGCACUUUCAGUA